rnacentral:rRNA from 1 species
CAGUAGCCGCGGUAAUACGGAGGGGGCUAGCGUUAAUCGGAAUUACUGGGCGUAAAGCGUGCGUAGGCGGUGAGUUAAGUCUGCUGUGAAAUCCCCGGGCUCAACCUGGGAAUGGCAGUGGAUACUGGCUCGCUAGAGUGUGUCAGAGGAUGGUGGAAUUCCCGGUGUAGCGGUGAAAUGCGUAGAGAUCGGGAGGAACAUCAGUGGCGAAGGCGGCCAUCUGGGACAACACUGACGCUGAGGCACGAAAGCGUGGGGAGCAAACGGGAUUAGAUACCCCGGUAGUCCCUGUCUCUUAUAC